rnacentral:rRNA from 1 species
UGAGGAAUAUUGGUCAAUGGGCGGAAGCCUGAACCAGCCAAGUCGCGUGAGGGAUUAAGGCCCUGCGGGUCGUAAACCUCUUUUGCCGGGGAGCAGAGGUCCGGACGUGUCCGGGCCGGGAGAGUACCCGGAGAAAAAGCAUCGGCUAACUCCGUGCCAGCAGCCGCGGUAAUACGGAGGAUGCGAGCGUUAUCCGGAUUUAUUGGGUUUAAAGGGUGCGUAGGCGGGCAUUUAAGCCGGCGGUCAAAUGUCGGGGCUCAACCCCGGCCUGCCGUCGGAACUGGGUGCCUUGAGUGGGCGAGA